rnacentral:rRNA from 1 species
ACGAACGCUGGCGGCGUGCUUAACACAUGCAAGUCGAACGGAAAGGCCCUGCUUUUGUUGGGUGCUCGAGUGGCGAACGGGUGAUUAACACGUGAGUAACCUGCCCUUGUCUUUGGGAUAACUUCAGUAAACUGGGGCUAAUACCGCAUAGUAGCUCCUGCUGCAUGGUGGGUGUUGGAAAGUUUCGGCGGUUGGGGAUGGACUCGCGGUUUAUCAGCUUGUUGGUGUGGUAGUGGCUUACCAAGGCUUUGACGGGUAGCCGGCCUGAGAGGGUGACCGGCCACAUAGGGACUGAGAUACGGCCCAGACUCCUACGGGAGGCAGCAGUGGGGAAUAUUGCAAAAUGGGCGGAAGCCUGAUGCAGCAACGCCGCGUGCGGGAUGACGGCCUUCGGGUUGUAAACCGCUUUCGCCUGUAACGAAGCGUGAGUGACGGUAAUGGGUAAAGAAGCACCGGCUAACUACGUG